rnacentral:rRNA from 1 species
UACGUAGGGGGCUAGCGUUGUCCGGAUUUAUUGGGCGUAAAGAGCUCGUAGGCGGUCUGUCGCGUCGGUCGUGAAAACUUGGGGCUUAACCCUGAGCUUGCGGUCGAUACGGGCAUGACUGGAGUUCGGUAGGGGAGACUGGAAUUCCUGGUGUAGCGGUGAAAUGCGCAGAUAUCAGGAGGAACACCGGUGGCGAAGGCGGGUCUCUGGGCCGAUACUGACGCUGAGGAGCGAAAGCGUGGGGAGCGAACAGG